CGACAACAGUCUGUAGGCUGU
rnacentral:miRNA from 1 species